rnacentral:rRNA from 1 species
GUCUCCAGUUAUAUCACCCUGAGCAUGCCCAAUAUCAUCUGAUCUUGGAGGCCAAGCAGGUUGUGCCUGGUUAGUACUUGGAAAGGAAAUUAUAGGUGUGUGCUACCACACC